rnacentral:rRNA from 1 species
GACGAACGCUGGCGGCGUGCUUAACACAUGCAAGUCGAACGGAAAGGCCCUGCUUUUGUGGGGUGCUCGAGUGGCGAACGGGUGAGUAACACGUGAGUAACCUGCCCUUGACUUUGGGAUAACUUCAGGAAACUGGGGCUAAUACCGGAUAGGAGCUCCUGCUGCAUGGUGGGGGUUGGAAAGUUUCGGCGGUUGGGGAUGGACUCGCGGCUUAUCAGCUUGUUGGUGAGGUAGUGGCUUACCAAGGCUUUGACGGGUAGCCGGCCUGAGAGGGUGACCGGCCACAUUGGGACUGAGAGACGGACCAGAGUCCUACGGGAGGCAGCAGUGGGGAAUAUUGCACAAUGGGCGGAAGCCUGAUGCAGCAACGCCGCGUGCGGGAUGACGGCCUUCGGGGUGUAAACCGCUGUCGCCGGUGACGAAGAGUGAGUGACGGUAAUGGGUCAAGAAGCACCGGCUAACUACGUG